rnacentral:rRNA from 1 species
AACGAACGCUGGCGGCAGGCCUAACACAUGCAAGUCGAACGCUGUAGCAAUACAGAGUGGCAGACGGGUGAGUAACACGUGGGAAUCUUCCUAUCGGUACGGAAUAGCUCAGGGAAACUUGGGGUAAUACCGCAUACGCCCUUCGGGGGAAAGAUUUAUCGCCGAUAGAUGAGCCCGCGUCUGAUUAGCUAGUUGGUGAGGUAAUGGCUCACCAAGGCGACGAUCAGUAGCUGGUCUGAGAGGAUGACCAGCCACACUGGGACUGAGACACGGCCCAGACUCCUACGGGAGGCAGCAGUGGGGAAUAUUGGACAAUGGGCGCAAGCCUGAUCCAGCCAUGCCGCGUGAGUGACGAGGGUCUUCGGAUUGUAAAGCUCUUUUGGCGGGGACGAUAAUGACGGUACCCGCAGAAUAAGCCCCGGCUAACUUCGUGCCAGCAGCCGCCGUAA